GAUGAACGCUGGCGGCGUGCUUAACACAUGCAAGUCGAACGAAGCAUUUAGGACAGAUUACUUCGGUUUGAAGUUCUUUAUGACUGAGUGGCGGACGGGUGAGUAACGCGUGGGUAACCUGCCUUGUACUGGGGGAUAGCAGCUGGAAACGGCUGGUAAUACCGCAUAAGCGCACAAUGUUGCAUGACAUGGUGUGAAAAACUCCGGUGGUAUAAGAUGGACCCGCGUCUGAUUAGCUAGUUGGUGAGAUAACAGCCCACCAAGGCGACGAUCAGUAGCCGACCUGAGAGGGUGACCGGCCACAUUGGGACUGAGACACGGCCCAGACUCCUACGGGAGUCAGCAGUGGGGAAUAUUGCAAAAUGGAGGAAACUCUGAUGCAGCGACGCCGCGUGAGUGAAGAAGUAAUUCGUUAUGUAAAGCUCUAUCAGCAGGGAAGAUAGUGACGGUACCUGACUAAGAAGCUCCGGCUAAAUACGUG
rnacentral:rRNA from 1 species